UGGGGAAUAUUGCACAAUGGGCGCAAGCCUGAUGCAGCCAUGCCGCGUGUAUGAAGAAGGCCUUCGGGUUGUAAAGUACUUUCAGCGGGGAGGAAGGGAGUAAAGUUAAUACCUUUGCUCAUUGACGUUACCCGCAGAAGAAGCACCGGCUAACUCCGUGCCAGCAGCCGCGGUAAUACGGAGGGUGCAAGCGUUAAUCGGAAUUACUGGGCGUAAAGCGCACGCAGGCGGUUUGUUAAGUCAGAUGUGAAAUCCCCGGGCUCAACCUGGGAACUUCAUCUGAUACUGGCAAGCUUGAGUCUCGUAGAGGGGGGUAGAAUUCCAGGUGUAGCGGUGAAAUGCGUAGAGAUCUGGAGGAAUACCGGUGGCGAAGGCGGCCCCCUGGACGAAGACUGACGCUCAGGUGCGAAAGCGUGGGGAGCAAACAGG
rnacentral:rRNA from 1 species